AUACGUAGGGGGCGAGCGUUGUCCGGAAUGAUUGGGCGUAAAGGGCGCGUAGGCGGCCCGGUAAGUCUGGAGUGAAAGUCCUGCUUUUAAGGUGGGACUUGCUUUGGAUACUGUCGGGCUUGAGUGCAGGAGAGGGAAGUGGAAUUCCCAGUGUAGCGGUGAAAUGCGUAGAGAUUGGGAGGAACACCAGUGGCGAAGGCGACUUACUGGACUGUAACUGACGCUGAGGCGCGAAAGUGUGGGGAGCAAACAGGAUUAGAUACCCUGGUAGUCCACACUGUAAACGAUGAAUGCUAGGUGUAGGGGGUAUCGACCCCUUCUGUGCCGCAGUUAACACAAUAAGCAUUCCGCCUGGGGAGUACGGCCGCAAGGUUGAAACUCAAAUGAAUUGACGGGG
rnacentral:rRNA from 1 species